UACGUAGGGUGCAAAGCGUUUAAUCGGAAUACUGGGCGUAAAGCGUGCGCAGGCGGUUUUGUAAGUCUGUCGUGAAAUCCCCGGGCUCAACCUGGGAAUUGCGAUGGAGACUGCAAGGCUAGAAUCUGGCAGAGGGGGGUAGAAUUCCACGUGUAGCAGUGAAAUGCGUAGAGAUGUGGAGGAACACCGAUGGCGAAGGCAGCCCCCUGGGUCAAGAUUGACGCUCAUGCACGAA
rnacentral:rRNA from 1 species